AUCACUUCCCGGCCUUUUGUUAAGAUCAAGGGUAGAUACCUAUUCUUAUCAGUUUAACAAUCCAAUAUGUCCUCUAUCCGAGGACAACAUAUUAAUUGGAUUUUUGGAGCAGGGAGGUGGAAUAAGAGCUUGCUUUGUCCACAUCCCAUGUUGACCUGGUAUCGCAGUACUUCCAGAAUGGCAGACCCCCU